GUGGUUGUCAGUGAGGACGCUACUCCUGGAGGUUCCCACAGUUACCCAAUCAAACUGCUCUGAACACUUAUUUGGUAAGAUGUCACCUUACUCUAAUUAAGAAAGUUAGUAAUAAGCCUGAAAGGAAUGAUAUUUGUUUGAUUUCUGUUUUUCAGACAGUGAGAUGCAGGAAUUGCAGGACAUUCUGACCUCAGCAAAUGUUCAAGACACAAACAAGUAUCAUUCAACAUCCAAAUCAUGGUGUUUGCGCCAAUCUGUAACCCAAGAGGAGUGGCAGAAAGCAAGGUCCUAUCACAUAAACGGCUUGCUGUCCAGCAAUGUGGUUCCAGAACAGAACUGCAGCCACUGCACAUCUCCUGCCAUCAUUCGCUGCAAAGAUUGCAUGCCAGAAGAGUGGCUGUGUAUGGAUUGUGACAUACAUGUAAAAAACUCACCCUUCAUUACAGGGAGUCCUGCAUUGAGGGAAUUUACAAGCUCAUUGAGCCAACAGUGUGCUAUGUAAAAAAAGAUGGCAGAUAUACACUGGUCAAUCAAGGUAUGUUUUGAACCUUUUUGGUAAAAUGGCUAAAGGUAUGUUUUUUUGUUUGUUUGUUUUUACUUUUAUUUAAAUUAAAAUCAUAAUUUGACAUUUUUAAUGCUUUCUCACUUAUUAUUGAACUUUUCUUUUCAGAGUGUUUAUUGCCUACAGUGAGACCUGUCCAUUUAUGCACUUGUGGCCCUGGAAACAUCACAGAAUCAGCUGGCAGAGCAAUCAUUUUGGUUUGCAUAAAUGGUAGGAACCUAUGGUUUUAUAUUUUAAUUAAUUCUUGUUAUUUGUGUGUUAAAAAACGACCAAAUAUUGUUCUGAAUUUAAAUUUUAGGUCGGUAUGAUUUGCAUUUGCCAAACUUGUGCAAAGUAUGUCUGGCACAGAGGACACCUGACAUGAGUGACCUAAUAAGAAGUGGGUAUUGCCCAGCAUCUGUGAAUGCUGACACACUGUUUUGUUGGAACUCAGACCUUUACUGUAGAUGAGACCAUUCCUUUCUGUCAUGCAUGCCAAGGCUCAUUCAACUAAGUGUGAGGUACUUCAUAUUCUUAAUCAUACCAUUUGAAAUUGUAUUUUUAUUUUUUAAGCUCGGAAUGACAUGCUAACUGUCCAUGCUAUUGGGUGGAACCAACGGAAACGGGAAGGCCUUCAUCUUGCAUUAUCCAGCAGAUACAUCAAGGUAUGAUGCUAAUUCUUAAGUUAUGAUUAUAAAGCUUUUCAUGAUUAUUCUCAAUUUUUAAGAUUGCAAAGGUAAAAAUCUUGUUCAUCUUUUAUUUUAUUUUUUUACACCAGACUUUCAAAAAGGCUGAGGCUGAGUCUCAGAGACUGGAGGAUUUGAGCAGUGAACUAGGGUGUCCAGAGGGCAUUGUGCUUCAGUGGGUACAUGAUGUCAGACAAUGGGCUACUGAGGGUACGGUAUUUUAUGGACCGUCAUCUAAGUACUAUUGCAGUGUAGUAAUAAUUUGUUUAAGUGAGAAUCUUUUCCAUGCAUAAGAAUUAAGUAAGGACAUGUCAUCCUGUUUUAUUUGCUAUAAACUUGUGGGCUUGUAAACUCCAUUAACCCUUUAAGUGUCUCCCCCUAUUUUUGAAUAUAUGUAGAUGUGUAAGUGCACUAUUCUUUUUUUUUUUUUUUUUUUUUUUUUUUUUUUUUUUUUUUUUUUUUUUUUUUUUUUUUUUUUUUUAGACAAUCUGCAGAUUAUUGCAGAAGUCAUUCUGAAUCAUUUCAAAAUAUUAAAUUAUCAAAAAGUUUAAAUUUACUGUAAAGAAAAUGCACUGUACAAUUUUUAUUUUAUUUUAUUUAAAAUAAAUAUUUUUCCAAAUAUUUCUGAAUCCA
ensembl:lncRNA